GAUGAACGCUGGCGGCGUGCCUAAUACAUGCAAGUCGAGCGAAUGGAUUAAGAGCUUGCUCUUAUGAAGUUAGCGGCGGACGGGUGAGUAACACGUGAGUAACCUGCCCAUAAGACUGGGAUAACUCCGGGAAACCGGGGCUAAUACCGGAUAACAUUUUGAACCGCAUGGUUCGAAAUUGAGAGGCGGCUUCGGCUGUCACUUAUGGAUGGACCCGCGUCGCAUUAGCUAGUUGGUGAGGUAACGGCUCACCAAGGCAACGAUGCGUAGCCGACCUGAGAGGGUGAUCGGCCACACUGGGACUGAGACACGGCCCAGACUCCUACGGGAGGCAGCAGUAGGGAAUCUUCCGCAAUGGACGAAAGUCUGACGGAGCAGCGCCGCGUGAGUGAUGAAGGCUUUCGGGUCGUAAAACUCUGUUGUUAGGGAAGAACAAGUGCUAGUUGAAUAAGCUGGCACCUUGACGGUACCUAACCAGAAAGCCACGGCUAACUACGUGCCAGCAGCCGCAGUAA
rnacentral:rRNA from 1 species